CACUUUGCACGACCAUUACUCUGAAAAACAGAGAGAAAAGAAAACCAAAAAUAAUUUCUUGGCUGGUUUGAAGAAAUUAUAAGGAGAUCCAAGUGAAAUCAAAGCCAAAGAAGUGGAUUAAGCUUAGUUCUAGCCUUUUUAUGAUAUUUCUUGGUGGUUUCCAAGUGGUUUGAGGUUUAGAAAAGCUAGAAGAGAUUGUUUUCGCCGAAAAGUUGCUCGGUAGAGAAAGAAAUGAGUGAAUGACAUAAGGAGAACUGAAGCAUGGUCCUAACCCUGAUUUGUACAUAUGAACACAUCGACCUUUUGUGGGUUAUUUCAGUUUACCAAUGUGAUAUUUGUAAUAAAGUGUGAAGUUAUGUUUUGAAAACAAAUUGGGUUAUUUAAUACUUAUGUAUAAUAUGUUUGAGACACACUUUAUGUUUAAUGUAAAUAAUGUGAAAUAAG